rnacentral:rRNA from 1 species
UGCCAGACUCCUACGGGAGGCAGCAGUGGGGAAUAUUGCACAAUGGGGGAAACCCUGAUGCAGCGACGCCGCGUGAAGGAAGAAGUAUUUCGGUAUGUAAACUUCUAUCAGCAGGGAAGAAAAUGACGGUACCUGACUAAGAAGCCCCGGCUAACUACGUGCCAGCAGCCGCGGUAAUACGUAGGGGGCAAGCGUUAUCCGGAUUUACUGGGUGUAAAGGGAGCGUAGACGGCAUGGCAAGUCAGAUGUGAAAGCCCGGGGCUCAACCCCGGGACUGCAUUUGAAACUGUCAGGCUGGAGUGCAGGAGAGGUAAGUGGAAUUCCUAGUGUAGCGGUGAAAUGCGUAGAUAUUAGGAGGAACACCAGUGGCGAAGGCGGCUUACUGGACUGUAACUGACGUUGAGGCUCGAAAGCGUGGGGAGCAAACAGGAUUAGAUACCCGUGUAC